rnacentral:rRNA from 1 species
GGCACGCCUAACACAUGCAAGUCGAGCGCCCCUUUCGGGGGGAGCGGCGGACGGGUUAGUAACGCGUGGGAACAUACCCUUUUCUAUGGAAUAGCCUUUGGGAAACGAAGAGUAAUACCAUAUACGCCCCUCGGGGGAAAGAUUUAUCGGUGAAGGAUUGGCCCGCGUUAGAUUAGAUAGUUGGUGGGGUAACGGCCUACCAAGUCAACGAUCUAUAGCUGGUUUGAGAGGAUGAUCAGCAACACUGGGACUGAGACACGGCCCAGACUCCUACGGGAGGCAGCAGUGGGGAAUCUUAGACAAUGGGCGCAAGCCUGAUCUAGCGAUGCCGCGUGAGUGAUGAAGGUCUUAGGAUCGUAAAACUCUUUCGCCUGUGAUGAUAAUGACAGUAGCAGGUAAAGAAACCCCGGCUAACUCCGUGCCAGCAGCCGCGGUAAUACGGAGGGGGUUAGCGUUGUUCGGAAUUACUGGGCGUAAAGCGUACGUAGGCGGAUUAGUAAGUUAGGGGUGAAAUCCCAGGGCUCAACCCUGGAACUGCCUCUAAAACUGCUAGUCUAGAGAUCGUGAGAGGUGAGUGGAAUUCCGAGUGUAGAGGUGAAAUUCGUAGAUAUUCGGAGGAACAUCAGUGGCGAAGGCGGCUCACUGGCACGAUACUGACGCUGAGGUACGAAAGUGUGGGGAGCAAACAGGAUUAGAUACCCUGGUAGUCCACACCGUAAACGAUGAAUGCCAGACGUCAGGGGGCUUGCCCUUUGGUGUCACACCUAACGGAUUAAGCAUUCCGCCUGGGGAGUACGGUC